rnacentral:rRNA from 1 species
GAUGAACGCUGGCGGCGUGCCUAAUACAUGCAAGUCGAGCGAACGGACGAGAAGCUUUCUUCUCUGAUGUUAGCGGCGGACGGGUGAGUAACACGUGGAUAACCUACCUAUAAGACUGGGAUAACUUCGGGAAACCGGAGCUAAUACCGGAUAAUAUUUUGAACCGCAUGGUUCAAAAGUGAAAGACGGUCUUGCUGUCACUUAUACAUGGAUCCGCGCUGCAUUAGCUAGUUGGUAAGGUAACGGCUUACCAAGGCAACGAUGCAUAGCCGACCUGAGAGGGUGAUCGGCCACACUGGAACUGAGACACGGUCCAGACUCCUACGGGAGGCAGCAGUAGGGAAUAUUCCGCAAUGGGCGAAAGCCUGACGGAGCAACGCCGCGUGAGUGAUGAAGGUCUUCGGAUCGUAAAACUCUGUUAUUAGGGAAGAACAUAUGUGUAAGUAACUGUGCACAUCUUGACGGUACCUAAUCAGAAAGCCACGGCUAACUACGUG